AUUGAACGCUGGCGGCAGGCCUAACACAUGCAAGUCGAACGCGUGGCGGACGGGUGAGUAAUGUCUGGGAAACUGCCCGAUGGAGGGGGAUAACUACUGGAAACGGUAGCUAAUACCGCAUACCCUCGGAUGUGCCCAGAUGGGGUUAGCUUGUAGGUGAGGUAACGGCUCACCUAGGCGACGAUCCCUAGCUGGUCUGAGAGGAUGACCAGCCAAACGGGAAUUGAGAAACGGUCCAGACGCCUACGGUAGGUAGCAGUGGGGAAUAUGGAACAAUGGGCGCAAGCCGGAUGCAGCCAGGCCGCGUGUAUGAAGAAGGCCUUCGGGUUGGAAAGUACUUUCAGCGGGGAGGCGUUACCCGCAGAAGAAGCACCGGCUAACUCCGUGCCAGCAGCCGCGGUAAUAC
rnacentral:rRNA from 1 species